UGGAAAAUCCGAGUGCUUACACUCAUUCCGCCAACCAUAUCCACCCAUCCAGGAUCUGUGCCAACCACGAACCAGGAUACCUCAGGUUCUGGAGGUGCAAUUAUCAGACACCGAGAUCCUCAUUGUCCCGGAGCUCUGCCGGGCCUGCAGGAUGACAACCCAAAGACCCAAGUUUGGCCCCACCCCCACCCCAGGACCAAAGGAGAGAAAAGAGUCCUGCAAGCUGUCCUGAGACAGCCACAGGCUUGCAUCCGCUCACACAUGAAUGCACACCUGUGCAUAUGCACACACUCAAUAAAAAUGUAAUACAA
rnacentral:lncRNA from 1 species